rnacentral:rRNA from 1 species
UUUAUGGAGAGUUUGAUCCUGGCUCAGGAUGAACGCUGGCGGCGUGCCUAAUACAUGCAAGUCGAGCGAACGGAUGAGAAGCUUGCUUCUCUGAUGUUAGCGGCGGACGGGUGAGUAACACGUGGAUAACCUACCUGUAAGACUGGGAUAACUUCGGGAAACCGGAGCUAAUACCGGAUAAUAUUUUGA